CCCUCCUUCGAGGACCAGGAAGAAUUCUGGAGCUUUGGGCCCUUCCUUUCUGGCUCUGAUUCUACCGCCAGGCUCGACGCCCCCAGAAGUGCAGGUGGCGUUACCAAAGGCCGGCUCAGCCAGCUUCCGGCCGCCGCUGUCCCCCGCACCACCCACAGCCGGAAGCCGGCUGCCGCGCGGCAUCCCGGGAGGCUCCGCUUGCCCCGCCCCACGCCGGUGCGCCGCGGGCCUCUGGUCCGCUGCCGUGUUCGGCCCCGCCCGUCACGUCUAGCUGGGGCUCGCCCGGCGCCUUCCUGGACGCAGACGUAUGAGUCCCAACUCCACCCAGUCCGGCCUGGCCUCUGUCCCCGGGUGACCGCGGAAUGGGGGGGCGGGAGCUAGCGAGCAGGCCCUCAAGCGCGUCUGGCCGCCUCCUUUGUCUUGAUGCCCACGUCUGGUUAGGACCCCUGCUGUCCAUUUUAUUAAAGGAGCUGUAGAAAGCGGCCUGGGGCCCAGCGACCUGCCCAGGGCGGACGAGGAGGCGCGACUGGCCCGAUGCCGCAGGCUCUCUGCCCAGUGUGCUCAGGUGGGAGGGCGGGGACAUGAAUCGAGCCACAGAGUGCCCUGGGCACGGACCCCCCGCCCCCCCCGGCCCCGGGCCCCGAGCCCCGAGCCCCGAGCCCGGCCACCGAAGCCCGUGCCACUCGCCAGCUCCUGCGAGACGAGCCUUUCGAGCGCAGCUCAGGCAUUUGGUUCAGGGUCCUACUGCCGGAGUCGUCUGAGGCCUCCAUCCGUCUGUCGUCACGAAAAAGGUUUUGGGGGGACUAAUAAGCACUUCCUGAAUGCACAUUUGCUCCACGCCCCUGCUGUAGGGAGAGGGUCUGCAGACACUUCAACAAAUAGAAUCCUAGGACCUUACCUGAUCGUAUUGUAUAAAAUGGAUGAAAACAGAGCUAUUGGGUUUGAAGCACUCCUGAACCCUCUCAUGGAACCCUAUGUCUUCCUGGAGUCUACAGAGCUAUUGGGUUUGAAGCACUCCUGAACCGUCUAGUAGAACCCUAUGUCUUCCUGGAGUCUACAGAGCUAUUGGGUUUGAAGCACUCCUGAACCGUCUAGUAGAACCCUAUGUCUUCCUGGAGUUUACAGAAAAAGAGACUCAGGGAUUUUCCCAAAGCACACUGCAAGUUAGGGGCAGGAAUGACAGCCCAGACCUUCUGGUUUCCAGUCCAGGGCUCAACUGCCUAAACAGUGGCAUCUCUUCAGGCAGGCCCUGUCAGAGGCAGAUUAGGGGACUUGUCCAAAGUUACUCAACUAUGAAGAGUCAAGAUUCAAAUCCAGAGACAUCUGACUUCAUUUCCCUUCAUUAACAACCAUCUAAGGAAGUUCCUAUUACUUUGGGAACUCCUAGUAGCAGGUGGUUAAAAAAAACUCCUGGACAACAUACUAUGCUAUUUGAAUCAUCCUACUUCUUACGCGUUCCUCCAGGAUGCACUCUUCUCCCAUUCUGAAACUGACAGUUCUCUUUACAAACUGUGUAUGUUUCAUUCCUGGAUUGCAUCUGAGCUGCCGCCAUGGAACGGGCAUUGAGUUUUAGCGUGUGUGAUGUCCCAUGUGUUCAUUUUGUCUCCCCACACUAUAAACUUGAGAGGCAAGGCCAACUCUUUUAUGUCUUCAAAUGCUUUGCUGCCAAACACAGGAUUGGAAAUGGCCAACAAAGACUAAAAUGCUACUUCUCUACCCUUUUCACUAUGCCAUCUACUGGAAAUUUAAGCAAGACUUGCAGAGAUCACUUCAGGUUAUCUGUUCCCCUGCAAGAAACACUUGUGGUUUGGCCUGAAAUAGUUUUCUGCUGAUUCUUUCUCUACAGCCCUGAACCCUAAAAACAAAUGAAAUGCAUCAACACAAUACUAAAUGCCUACAUAUUAUUACUAUUAUGUCUUUAAAAAAAGAGUGAAAGCUUUUUCAUGUUUGCUUUAAAUCAACCAUGUAGAAACUGGAGGGACCAGUGAAGAGGAAUAGAGGGAAUGAACUCAAAUGCUCUAACUUGCAAUAGGACAGUUGGGUUCUUACUUUGACUCACCUGACCUUUACAACCAUUAGCCAGCUCACAUGAUGCCCAAACAAGUUGCUGAGCCUCCUGCCCAUCCUCUGUAUAUAUCCCUGGUUUCCUGUCUCAAGCUUUAGGCUAAUCUCCAUCAACACUGACCUCACAUGAAUACUAAAUGCAGAUGUCUGACCUCAUAUUUCUCUGCCAGUCAGAUCCCUGGCCUCUUUACUACAGACCUUAAGGACCAGUUCUCAAACUCAUCUCAUUGGCAUCUUUUCACAUCACGAAAUCUAUCUGGUCAGGAUUUGAAUAAAACUGUAUUUUUACUUUAAUACAAAAGAGUCAACAUGGGCAGUGACUAAAUAAAGGGGGUGGGGACAGAGUUAACACGAGCCACCUAUGCUGUUACAUAUAUAUAUAUCCCGAUUAAUUUCAGUUGGUGAAGAGGAAGACCCUCGGGCACAGAUUUCAACACUGUGCUGGACUCAGACCCAAAAUCCUUUGACUUAUUUUUAUUUUUUGGGAUGAGGUCUCGCUAUGUUGCCCAGGCUGGAGUACAGUGGCUAUUCAUAGGCACUAUCAUAGUGCAGGGUAGCCUUGAACUCCUGGCCUCAUGAUCCUCCCACCUCAGCCUCCCUAGUGGCUGGUAGCUGGGACUACAGACACAACCAGCCCUCUGACUUAUUUUUACUACUCUGCUGUGAAACUCACCCGAUCUUUACUUUGGCCUUCAUUAUUGAGGCUUCCUUAAAGCAGUGGUUCUCAAAGUACCAGGUCCUGAUCAGCAGCAUCAGCAUCAAUUUGUUAAAAAUACAAAUGCUCUAUGGGGCCCUACCUCAGACUUACUGAAUCAAAACUCCUUAGUCAAGACUUAACUGCUGGUAAGUGACUGAGUUUUUGGUCAAAGGCAUUUCCUUUUAGCACUUGUUCUCUGGGUCCUGAUUUUUCUUUACUUAUUUCAACAGAAUGACCUUUCCCAUUGUAUUCCAUCAGAGAGUGCUAAUUAGAAGCAAAACCACAGCUUAAUUGUCUUUUUUUUUUUUUAACUUCGCAUUCCCAAGUUACACCGUCAUUUUCUUUUUGUGACUAUGCCCUUGAAAAUCUAGGGCAAUAGGUCUGCUCAGUGUUGUUGAUUUUCUUAUCCACAAGACUGGUUUCACUUUAUUAGAACUUUCUAGUUCCAAAAUUAGGCUAUCCUGCUAACUUCCUUCCCACUUGAGUGUUCCACUACAUACAUUCCACAGCCCUUUACACUUGGAAAUACUUUCACACAUUGGCUUGCAGGCUAGAUAGAUUGUCCACCUUUUAUCUGUAAAAGGUAAAACAGAAACUCAGUGAGAUUAAAGCCAUAGCUAUAAAGUAGUGAAGUUUAAAGUUCUGGUACCUACUUCAGUCCCUGACUCAUAACAAGCGCUCAAUAUAUUUAACAAGUAUGUGAAUGACCAUGGAAGCCAGAUCUUUGACUUCUAGGCUGGUUUUCUUUCUCUUUUUUUUUUGAGAUGGAGUCUCGCUCUGUUACCCAGGCUGGAGUGCAGUGGCACGAUCUCGGCUCACUGCAACCUCCGCCUCCCAGGUUCAGGCAAUUCUCCUGCCUCAGCCUCCCAAGCAGCUGGGAUUACAGGUGCACGCCACCAUGCCCAGCUAACUUUUGUAUUUCUAGUAGAAACGGGGUUUCACCAUGUUGGCCAGGCUGGUCUCGAAAUCCUGACCUCAAGUGAUCCGCCUGCCUUGGCCUCCCAAAGUGCUGGGAUUACAGGCAUGAGCCACUGCACCCAGUUUCUGGCUGGUCCUUUCUAUCUCUAGAUCACACAAUCUCUCAUGUUACAUAGUUGUGGGAAUAGACAAGUCUAGCUCCAAAAAGCGUUAAUAAUCUUGUCCCAUUUAUUUUCCUAG
rnacentral:lncRNA from 1 species